GUGAACGCUGGCGGUAGGCCUAACACAUGCAAGUCGAACGGCAGCACCGUAAGAGCUUGCUCUUACGGGUGGCGAGUGGCGGACGGGUGAGGAAUACAUCGGAAUCUACUUUUUCGUGGGGGAUAACGUAGGGAAACUUACGCUAAUACCGCAUACGACCUACGGGUGAAAGCAGGGGAUCUUCGGACCUUGCGCGAUUGAAUGAGCCGAUGUCGGAUUAGCUAGUUGGCGGGGUAAAGGCCCACCAAGGCGACGAUCCGUAGCUGGUCUGAGAGGAUGAUCAGCCACACUGGAACUGAGACACGGUCCAGACUCCUACGGGAGGCAGCAGUGGGGAAUAUUGGACAAUGGGCGCAAGCCUGAUCCAGCCAUACCGCGUGGGUGAAGAAGGCCUUCGGGUUGUAAAGCCCUUUUGUUGGGAAAGAAAAGCAGCAGGUUAAUACCCCGCUGUUCUGACGGUACCCAAAGAAUAAGCACCGGCUAACUUCGUG
rnacentral:rRNA from 1 species